AAAAGUAGUGGUAUUUCA
rnacentral:misc_RNA from 1 species